AAGUGACAUCAUUUUGGAGGGAAAUAGGCAGCACAAACACCACUUUGAGCAAACAAAGCUUGCUUGAAGAUGGGGAAGAUGUGAAGUCAACGCGGCUGUGACGUGAUGGGCUGGAGCGUUGUCUCUUGACGCAACUUCCUGUUCAUCUAUGAGAAGCUAAACAUUGCCCUCUCCUGGAUAUAUGACUGGAAUCUCGUGCUUGAUGAGCCAGUCAGUGGGGAGCAGAUUUUUAGGCUCUACAUAGGUGGCGUUUAAGGCAUCAUUUGAGUGAAACGUGUUCCAAAAGUGUCCGGACAGUGAAGAAAACUGGAAGAAUCACAAAUCUGGUUUGGGUUGCUAAACAUUGCCUGCUUCCAGUAAACAGGGAGGAUUACUGCUGUCAGGCACGACACUUACGGUGGCUGGAACUCCAUCAAGCUGUCUUGCUCCGUGGUUUGACACAAGUAUUCCAUCCACCCCAUACUUCAGCGCUUCUUUGGCAUCUUCAGCUAAAAUGGCAAGAUUCACCAUGAGCAG